CCUGAGAGGGCGACCGCCCACACUGGGACUGAGACACGGCCCAGACUCCUACGGGAGGCAGCAGUGGGGAAUCUUGCGCAAUGGGCGGAAGCCUGACGCAGCGACGCCGCGUGGGGGAUGAAGGCCUUCGGGUUGUAAACCUCUUUCAGCAGGGACGAAGGUGAC
rnacentral:rRNA from 1 species